rnacentral:misc_RNA from 1 species
UGGUGGGACUGAUUACUCGAUGAGGAUCUUCAACUCCGACGGCAGUGAGCCUGAGAUGUGCGGUAAUGGGGUACGUUGCUUUGCUCAAUUUGUUUCCGAGCUUGAAAAUCUACAUGGGACACCAAGUUUUACCGUUCAUACUGCUGCUGGUCUUAUUAUUCCGCAAUUUCAAAAAGAUGGGAAGAUCAGAGUUGAUAUGGGCCAG